ACGUCCAUACGUAGAAAAAAAAACAAAUCUGUGUCUUUGGAAUUGACGUGUCCAGGUUUCCGGUGAGCGGACAUCACAAGGGUCGCGACUAAGGUUGUUCCACACACUGAACGCAUACAAAGAAGGCAGAGGUUUUGCUGCAUUGCACCGGACUUGUGCUUGACGUUAGGGAUAGACUUAACAAGAGGUAUGGUCAUUGCUGUUUGUUGUAAACCGUUAUGGGUAUCAUUGUGUUUGUGGUCGAAAAAUGGUAUUCAAAAAGAAAAAUACCUUAUGUCAUCCAUUUCCCCUGUUUUGUGUGGGUUUAGGGUUAUUUGGUUUUUAUUUUGCUGAAUAAUGCUCCAAAAAUUUGCCUUUUCAACCACUAUCAGAAAAAGGGUACGCAUGUAUAAAUAUUCAAAAAAAAUUUGGUACCUUGACAUUGAAAUUUGAUUGUUGGGAAAUCUUUGUUCAUACAGUUUUGGAUUUGACUAUAUACAUUUGUGUUGGUUUGUUGCCUAUAUAAGUGGUGAGCUGUGGUUUGUUGGCUAUACAUGGAAAUCUCUCUUGUGGAACUUAGAAGUGGUGAUCUGUCUCUCUCUCUGCGGCAGUAACAAAAAUACAUAGUGACUAGUGGGUGGAGGCUUGGAAACAAUUACAGUAGAACCAUUGACGGAAGCAUGGGUGGAUGCGGGUCUGGCAUAGGUGGAGGUGGAGGUGAAAGCGUCAUUUCUAGGCAUUCUUCAUCCUUAUCCCCUUCUAGGGUGAAGAUGUGCUAUUGUGGAGUGCUGGCUGCGUUGCGAAUGAGUUGGACAGAAAGGAAUCAGGAAAGACAAUUUCUUGGAUGUCCUAAUUUCAGAACAGUGGACGAUUGUCAUUUUUUUUGAGUGGUUUGAAGAACCGAGUUGCCGUAAUUGUAUGAAGUUCGAGAAAGUGAUCAAAUUACAGAGUGUUUCGAUAAUUGUUAUUGUUAUAACAUUUGGGAUCAUCAUGACUACAAUGUUGAUUUUUUGUUGACUUGUAUUGUAAUGGUUUAGGGUCAUGUGUUGCAUUAGCAGCACUUUCGGAGUUAUGUUGUGUGGAGUUGUAAGUUAGCGAAACCCUCGACGUAGAUGUUAUUUAUUAAUGUCAUGAAAUGUUGAUAGUAGUAAUGGCUCCCUGUAUUGUUCAACUUAUUUUGAAGUGGUAAUGGCUCUUCAGCUGUGGUAAAUAUAUUUCUUUUAACUGUCUCUGAUUCAUUGGAUAUGGAUGAUCCAUGUUAAAGAGAGAAUCAGUAGCAUAUUUGGUGGUAGUCCGCUGGAUGAUUGGAUUACAGUCCCAAAAUGUGCGAAACAUGCAAAAAUCCUAAGUUGAAAAUGAAGUUAUGAAGCAAGUCAGUUAUUGUACUGGUGCAUGUGAUCCUUGAAGGAAGAUCAUGCAGGAUACUCCACUUCUUGCUCUAUCUAGAGGAAUCUAUGCUGAUCCCAUGACAAGUAUUGAUUGAUGAUGUGGCAAGUAUGAUGAAGUUGAGUGUUGUCACUUGUCAUCAGAAGGAAAACUGUUUGUUACUGGUGGCCAUGACAAAAAGGCUUCUUUAUGGAUUAGAUGGAAAGUAUGAUUGAAAGUAGAGGAAAUAGGUCAAUGCAUUAGAUGGAUUGAGUGCCUCCUAUUGCUGGAACUUGUCAAUAAAUCCACCUGGAUUUGGUUCCUUACCUUCAUCUAUAUCUAUGCAUGUUGUUUGAUAUCCAGGAAAAAAUUCCUUUGUCCUUACAUAUUUGGAACCUUUCAAGAUUGUAACUUCUUAAUAUAGCAUCAGUUGUGAAUUAAUUUGUGUGAUUAACCAUUUCUUAUGUCUGAAGUCUGCAUCACAUACAUUUUUCUAUCAUCAGUAUACGUGCUAUUAUAUUGCAUGAUCAUUUAUUUUAUUUGUAUCAUAUAAUUUAUUGAAUUCUGAUAAUACUUUGCAGCCUGGUUAUUCUCUUCGAACAUUCACAGGACAUACAACAACUGUCAUGUCACUAGAUUUUCACCCUAGUAAAGACGACCUCAUUUGCUCUUGUGACUAUAAUGAGAUAAGGUAUUGGAACAUAAAAAAGGUAGUUGUACAGGGGUUCACAUGGGCAGCAAUCUUCAAUGAACACCAUCACAAGGUGUUACAAGAUUCCUUCAAAUAAAAUCACUCAUUACACUGUCAGAAAAAAUGACUCCUACUUUGAGUUGGUAAUUUAGAACUUACCAAGGCCUCACCACCUGCCAUGGAUUGAUGGGUCAGAAUUACAAGGCAUCUAUCAAAAUGCCAGUUGGUGCUCAAAUCAAAGUUCCAAUGUUAUGUGCUUGUCCUACAGCAGACUAGAAGGCAAGAGGGGUCACCACAUUGCUGGUUCACAUGGUGAACAUUGGUGAUACAGUUAAUUCCAUAGGAGAGGCUUAUGGUGUUGAUGAACAAAGUGUGGUAGAGGUCCAUGAGUUGAAAGUGUGACCUAGUGCAGACAGCAGCAUCAUCCUCCUUGCAUCCUCCUCCAUGCCUCGACACCUAUAUCAUUGUCUUAUUUUCUGAGAACAAUGAUAAUUUUUUAUCUCAGUCUUUUGUGGUUGUUUUCCUAGUUACUCAUGUUGUUAUAUCUCAUACUAUUGUGCUUACAUUCAUCAGGCGGUUUGGAUUCUCAUACAACUUUGAAUGGCUCGGAUGAUUUGGAAGUGGAGAAAAUGAUGACCCUGUUGAAGAUGGGGUUGGAUGAAGAAGUUUUUCCCAUGUAUAAGAUGAGGAAAGCAAAUUUCAUGAAACGGGUGUUGAUCACUGCAGUGAUAGCUAUGUUUGUUGCAGAUGCAGCUGAUACAAAUGAUGUUUAUAGUCCUUUUGACAGUUCACUUUUGCAAAGCUCAAGUUCAGAAAGUCAUUCUUCAGGAUUAAGUGGAAGUAGUAUUGUUAGUGGGGUAUCAGAAUCAACAAAAGUGCCCAUUGCACAAUCCAACGGCAAAAGUGAUUCUUAGAUGAGACAGGAACGUAUGAGUCACAUGGUGCCUUCAGGAGCAAUCAAAGUCCACCAUCGAACGUAGAUUGCCUGAACAACAUUUUACCUUGAUAUACAGCAUCUGCAUGGGUUGGAUAAUCAUAACCAUUUUGCUGGUGGUAUAUUGUCUUACGACAAGGGUUUUGUUGAAAAAUGCCAACCUGCUGCACUUAGAGAGAAGAGAUUCUGA